rnacentral:rRNA from 1 species
GACGAACGCUGGCGGCGUGCUUAACACAUGCAAGUCGAACGGAAAGGCCCUGCUUUUGUGGGGUGCUCGAGUGGCGAACGGGUGAGUAACACGUGAGUAACCUGCCCUUGACUUUGGGAUAACUUCAGGAAACUGGGGCUAAUACCGGAUAGGAGCUCCUGCUGCAUGGUGGGGGUUGGAAAGUUUCGGCGGUUGGGGAUGGACUCGCGGCUUAUCAGCUUGUUGGGGGGGUAGGGGCUUACCAAGGCUUUGACGGGUAGCCGGCCUGAGAGGGGGACCGGCCUCAUUGGGCCUGAGAUACGGAGCAGACUCCUACGGGCGGCAACAGUCGGAAGUAUUGCGCAGUGGGCGGAAGCCUGAUGCAGCAACGCCGCGUGCGGGAUGCCGGCCUUCGGGUUGUAAACCACUUUCGCCUGUGACGAAGCGUGAGUGACGGUAAUGAGUCAAGAAGCACCGGCUAACUACGUG